rnacentral:rRNA from 1 species
GGACGAACGCUGGCGGCGUGCCUAACACAUGCAAGUCGAGCGGAGUCAGUAAGAGGAAGUUUCGGAUGGAAUCUGUUGAUUAGCGGCGGACGGGUGAGUAACGCGUGAGCGACCAACCUUGCACAGGGGGAUAACGGACCGAAAGGUUCACUAAUACCGCAUGAGACCACGGUGUUGCAUGACACAGAGGUCAAAGGAGCAAUCCGGUGCAAGACGGGCUCGCGUCCGAUUAGGUAGUUGGAGGGGUAACGGCCCACCAAGCCUAUGAUCGGUAGCCGACCUGAGAGGGUGAUCGGCCACAUUGGAACUGAGAUACGGUCCAAACUCCUACGGGAGGCAGCAGUGGGGAAUAUUGGGCCAAUGGGGGAAACCCUGACCCAGCAACGCCGCGUGAAGGAAGAAGGUUUUCGGAUUGUAAACUUCUGUCCUUGGUGAAGAGAAGAAGACGGUAGCCAAGGAGGAAGCCCCGGCUAACUACGUGCCAGCCGCCGC